AGCAGCAAUGUUCCUACAUCUAGUGGAAAGCCUUCCCAGAAGAGUGGAGGCUGUUAUAGCAGCAAUGUUCCUACAUCUAGUGGAAAGCCUUCCCAGAAGAGUGGAGGCUGUUAUAGCAGCAAUGUUCCAACAUCUAGUGGAAAGCCUUCCCAGAAGAGUGGAGGCUGUUAUAGCAGCAAUGUUCCUACAUCUAGUGGAAAGCCUUCCCAGAAGAGUGGAGGCUGUUAUAGCAGCAAUGUUCCUACAUCUAGUGGAAAGCCUUCCCAGAAGAGUGGAGGCUGUUAUAGCAGCAAUGUUCCUACAUCUAGUGGAAAGCCUUCCCAGAAGAGUGGAG
ensembl:lncRNA